rnacentral:rRNA from 1 species
CUCUUUUUGAAUAUAAUUUAAAGUUGGGCCUGCCCACUGAUAAUUUAAAGGGCCGCAGUAUUUUGACUGUGCAAAGGUAGCAUAAUCAUUAGUUUUUUAAUUGAAAGCUUGUAUGAAUGGUUUGAUGAGAAAAUUACUAUUUCAAUUUAAAUUUAAAUAAUUUUAUUUUUAAGUUAAAAAGCUUAAAUUACAUUUAAAGACGAGAAGACCCUAUAGAGUUUUACUAAUAUAAAAAUUUUUAUUUAAAGUAUUUUUUUAUGAAGAUUUUGUUAAAGUUUUGUUGGGGUGAUAAAAAAAUUUAAUUAACUUUUUUUUUAUAAAAACUUAAGUAGUAGGAUUUUUGAUCCAUAAUAAUGAUUAUAAGAUUAAAUUACCUUAGGGAUAACAGCGUAAUUUUUUUUGAUAGUACUUAUUGAAAAAGAAGAUUGCGACCUCGAUGUUGGAUUAAAAUUAAUUUUAGGUGAAGAAGCUUGAAAAUUAGGUCUGUUCGACCUUUGAAAUUUUACAUGAUCUGAGUUU